rnacentral:rRNA from 1 species
UACGGAGGGUGCAAGCGUUGUCCGGAAUCACUGGGCGUAAAGGGCGCGUAGGCGGCUCGUCGCGUCGGCUGUGAAAACCUGGGGCUCAACCCCGGGCCUGCAGCCGAUACGGGCGAGCUAGAAUUCGGUAGGGGAGACUGGAAUUCCCGGUGUAGAGGUGAAAUUCGUAGAUAUCGGGAGGAACACCGGUGGCGAAGGCGGCGAUCUGGGUCGAUACUGACGCUGAGGUGCGAAAGCGUGGGGAGCAAACAGG